rnacentral:lncRNA from 1 species
CUGGGUUUCCUGCGCGCCUCAAGUCUCCUUUUUAUUUCACCUCGGGGAAAAUGGAGGCGGGGGUGUGAAAGAAAGAGAGGAAGAAAGAAAGAACAAGGGGGGUGGGGUGGGGGGGGACGACAGAAGGCAGGCCACAUCCCAGCAGCCCUCCUGCCCCCCGCGUCUCCAUCGCCAGCCCCAAGCCAGAACAGAUUUGAGUGGAGCUGCCCUGGCUCUAUCAUCUGCGGCGUGCAGAGUCAUCACGGCCGCGGUGCAUAGCUGAGAGCCGGAAAGCAAACAGCUGCUGUAGCCUGAUUUGAGUUAAAAUAGUGUCAGUGUUUAGUCUGGCGCACUGCUUCAGGAGAGAUUGGCAGCUGGGUCAAACAAAGUCAUUCCAUUGGCUCCCUUCCCAGCCAGCUUCUGCUAGUAUUUAGGUACUAGUGCAGCCUAGGCCCCUUUUCUCAGGGAUAGCCUAACAUCUGACCGCACCCUCCUUGCUGUUUAAAAAAUGCCUUUUCACUCUUUAAGAUAAAUCCACUAUUAGACAAUCUGCCACUAAUAGUGCAGUAAGGCUGUUUUUCUCCCGAAAGCCGACGCAUCCCGCUCCCGCCGCAGUGCAGAAAGCAGGCUGUUACAGUGCCGGAUUCAUAAAAGGGGCCUUUAUGGCUGGUGAAAGAAUAUCUGUGUGCUUAGGCCGGAAACUUUUUGAUCCAGUGCAAAGCCAGACGACACCUAGAUUUCUUUUACAAUACAUUCUCCUCAAGCCUGUGAAUUUUUCUUUUACUGACCAGAUCGGUCUGCAAUCAGUCUUGCAAUCAGGAAGUGAAAUCUUGGAUUAAAACCACCUAGUGAUUUCAAAUGUUAAUCUUAAGGGCUUCUCCUAGGCAUUUCAUAUUAAAAGAUGGGUAACAUGGGACAAAUGAUCAAGGAGUUAUAUUUGCAUCUUUCAUUUUUCACAUCUAGGCCCUCUUCUUCUGGAUCUUCCACAUGUCCACGUUAGUCAUUCUUCCGAGUUUCCUUACUCAUGCUUGAAAAUAUUUUUAUAUUUUGUUCAAAAUGUAAGACACAAUUAUUGACAAUAAAUAAAUCUGAUAAUAUAAUUGUAACA